rnacentral:rRNA from 1 species
CCCUUAGAUGUUCUGGGCCGCACGCGCGCUACACUGACGAUGGCAACGAGUUUUUCCUUCGCCGAAAGGUGUGGGUAAUCUUUUGAAACAUCGUCGUGCUGGGGAUAGAUCAUUGCAAUUUUUGAUCUUGAACGAGGAAUUCCUAGUAAUCGCGAGUCAUCAGCUCGCGUUGAUUACGUCCCUGCCCUUUGUACACACCGCCCGUCGCUACUACCGAUUGAAUGGUUUAGUGAGGACUCCUGAUUGGCGCCGCCGCCCCGGCAACGGAGCAGCGGACUGCCGAAAAGUUGUUCAAACUUGAUCAUUUAGAGGAAGUAAAAGUCGUAACA